CUGGCUAGCUGUGCUCUUGCUCAAAGCCCUGCUGCAGCUCAGCUGGGCUCCUCUUCUGGAAUAUCUUCGCCCUCUUGCCUUCUCUCUCCACUCAAGACUUAGUUCAGCUGCUGUCUCCUGCAAGGAGCCUCAUUUGACAGCACAACACCCUCCAUCAUGUGGCACCCCUCUUUGCCAGUGAAUCCCACUGUGCAGACCACCACCAAGCAAUCCAGAUCUGAGGAUCAAACCAAAAGCUGAAAUAUGCUACAACAAUGCUCUGCCACUGAACUACAUUCUUGGCCCUGGGAAAUGUCUUUAAAAUCUUCCCUUCUCCUCUCUUGCACAUCCCAGCUGUGACACAGAAGCUCAGUGCCAGUGUCUCCGACACCUCACUGUCUUGGUUCACACAUUCCUGUCCUGACGUCAGACACCUAAAGGAACAAGCAAGCAUAGCCAGAGCUUCU